CUUGGCGCCUCGAGAAGGCGGGCGGGUCCUUUCCGCGGGGCGCUGCGCGGUUCUCCUCACAGCCCGUCGCGAUGCCGAAGGUCGAGGAGCUGGCGGCAGCGAGCGGCCCGGGGAGCAGCCCGGAGGAAGAAGAGGAAGAGGGAAAGAAAAGGAAGAAAGAAAUGCCUUCAAAGUCAGAGAAAAGGCCGAAAACAGAGGCCAGGCCUUCGAGAGUGGCAGCAAAGCCUCAGGGACGAGACAGCG
rnacentral:lncRNA from 1 species